GAUGAACGCUGGCGGCGUGCCUAACACAUGCAAGUCGAGCGAUUCUCUUCGGAGAAGAGCGGCGGACGGGUGAGUAACGCGUGGGUAACCUGCCCUGUACACACGGAUAACAUACCGAAAGGUAUGCUAAUACGAGAUAAUAUGAUUUUAUCGCAUGGUAGAAGUAUCAAAGCUUUUGCGGUACAGGAUGGACCCGCGGCUGAUUAGCUAGUUGGUAAGGUAACGGCUUGCCAAGGCGACGAUCAGUAGCCGACCUGAGAGGGUGAUCGGCCACAUUGGAACUGAGGCACGGUCCAAACUCCUACGGGAGGCAGCAGUGGGGAAUAUUGCACAAUGGGCGAAAGCCUGAUGCAGCAACGCCGCGUGAGCGAUGAAGGCCUUCGGGUCGUAAAGCUCUGUCCUCAAGGAAGAUAAUGACGGUACUUGAGGAGGAAGCCCCGGCUAACUACGUGCCAGCAGCCGCGGUAA
rnacentral:rRNA from 1 species